GAGGAUUUUGAGUGAAAUUUCAAGUAACGAAAUAUCAAUCGAGGUCCGGGCAACGCGUAGACGCGAUUAUAAUUUCGUUUGGUGUUGGAGUUAUCUUGGGGACAAGAAAAUGAUGAAGAUUUUGCUACCUUCAUAAAAAAAAAUAAGAUUACGAAGCUACGAAUAAUUCUUAAGAGAGUUACAAGACAGGAAGUAAGUUGGAAGUCGAGAAUUAUCUUCCAGGUGUAUACAGACGAGUAGAGGAUAUGGCUAGAAGAUGUUCCAGCUGGAUUGGCGAGCUCCAUUUCUUUCCGGAGUGUUGCCGAGUCAGAGUAUCCAUGUCAUGGUAUAAUGAUUUAUGUUAGAGACUUUGCAGACAGAGUCACGUAUAUAGUAUGUCGGUUUUGCAAGUGGCUCAGUAAGCCGAUGUAUUAUCAUGCAUU